GUUGACGGGCGUGAACAUUAUUGUGGCGUCUCUUUGGUUAUGGAAAUCCGAUGACGACCUUAAAGGCUGGAGUUCAUUCUGAAUGUUGAGCACCAUCCACCUCUAAGCGCUCGUCCUGAACGCCGCCACAAGAUGCCGUGGGGUCUCGUGCUAAUCUCCUUGAUUGCUCUCUGCAGCGCACACACUGUCCUGAAGGGGGCGACAUCCCAGUCGUCAAGCUUCACUGCAGAUGAAGGUAUUGAAGCUGGUUUGGUACACGUCUCUGGCAGAGCCGUGGAUGGGAACCACGCGACCUGUUCUCACACAGAAGAACAGAUGAACUCCUGGUGGAGAGUCGACCUGCUGGGCGUCUACACAUCACAUCACGAUCUAUCAAGUUAAACUUAACGCUGCGAAUAUAACCGGUGCCCAGAUUCACAUCGGGAACUCUCGGAAGGACAACGGCGCCGCCAACGCCCUGUGUAAGCACAUCGGACUCUUCCCGUAUGAUGAGGAUCAACAAUUCGCUUGCGAUACGAGUUUGUCAGGGUGCUACGUCACCGUGUCCUUCCCGGGAAAACACUUCCUCGCUCUGUGAAGUGGAGAUCUACGGCACGAUGAAAGGUUUAUUGUUUAGGUCCACAGUGAGCAGCACCUUUACUGGCUUCUCCCCUUUGAGGUUGAAUGUGGAACAAUAACCAGCAAAAAACCAUCACGCUCUAGUGUAAAACUACUCCAAGCUUUAUGUAAAGGCCAAUUAAGGCUAAUUGGGGGAAAGGCUCUCGUUUUAUUUUCCUCCAGUGAUGUCCACAGGGCCCACAGCUUGAUGCAUGAUGUAUCUUGAUGUAUGUGUCUCUAUAAGACAAUAACAACAAAUCAUUUGGAAGUGUUUCUGCAAGUGACGGCCGGCCGUGGUUCACAAAUUCCAUCACGUGGGCUGAAUUCGGCAUGUUCGCUUCCUGGGAAACCUUCUCCCCUUGUUCUCUGUUGUUCACCAUUUUGUUUUAUGUUCUGACAUUUUAAAAAAAGAUGAUUUUUUUGCUUAACCCUCCUAUGACCUUUGGGGUCAAUUUGACCCCAUUAAAAGUUUUACGUCUCUAAAAAAAUGAUUGACAUCAUUAAUUUUGAUUCAUAUUUCAUGACUUUUCCUAAUUUAUUGGGGACAACUGGGAAAACAUAAAAUUCACAUGAUAUGUUUUCACUGUCCUGAACACAACUCGUACGCAUCGGUGUUCUUUGGGGUCAAUUUGACCCCAGGCUGUUUUUCACUGUGUAAAACAUAUAAGAAAUAUCAACUUUUUUAUUUAUUUAAAGGGAUAUUUAGGUAUCAACAAAGAAUCAUAAAGUACCUCACACUUAAACUUGGGAAACAAUAUUAAUCCUAAUAAUUUUCUGGAUCGUUUUCAUUGCUGGGGUCAAAUUGACCCCGAGGGUAGAAGAUGUUGGUACAUUUGAAGGUAACAGGAGGGUUAAAUAAGAGUUGACGGGCUCGCUGAGGGCGUCUUUGUCAUGAGGAUGUCACCGGAGGAAUGCAGACGUGUUUGUUCACUUGUUUAGUUUCCCUUCACUCUUCUAGCAUCGCCCUUUACGUUGAUCGCGGAGAACAAGACGUGGGAAGCUGCGCUGAACUACUGCCGGGGCCAACACAUGCACCUGGCUUCCAUUGUCAACGAGGAGGACCAGGCCUGGGCCGAGUUGAAGGCCGUCAACGCCACCUCUCCCUUCGUGUGGCUGGGCCUUCGAUACACCUGCACCCUCGAGUUCUGGUUCUGGGUCGAGGAUCUUCGCGUAGAUUUCACUCGCUGGGAUACGAACAAUAAGAUGGACGAUUGUGACAUGAGUGGUGCCAUGGAGAACCAAGAGAACCAUUUGUGGUCCAGCCAACCGGCCACCAGUACAUUUAAUUUCAUAUGCACAAUAUAAUCGAGCUUUUCUCGGCGUCACUAGUGGCAAAUGUGACAAGUUCUGCUCUAAUAUGCGGCACAGGUGAUGGUUUCAGGCCCAGUGCAGUGCCACUUUGCCCUGAAGCCUCAUGGCUUACAACAAAACCUAUAUUACCUGUUUUUUAGUAGCUGUAACAGUUUAUUUAAAGCCACUCACGAGAUGUAACUUUAAUUGUAUGCUGAUUUUGGUAGUCCCUGUGGAAAAGGUGCAAGUGUUUCUUAGCAACAGUCUCGUGCCUCCAUCCCCUCCAGCAGCGUGGUGUAGGUGUUGUAUUGCAAAUGUUUGCUAUAUAUAUAUAUAUACAGUCGAGUAAUGUAUCCUUAUUCUCCAAUUUAUUAGACUAAUAUAUUGAUUAUAUGAUAGCCAAAUGUUUUUGAGGUCCAUAGACUUCUGUUUAAAAAAUAUGCAAAUAAUUUUUUUUUGGAAAUGUAUGUCGAAUUUAGUUUAUUUUGCAUAGCCAACAAUCACCCAUUUGCCUCAGAGGGCUUUACAAUCUGUACACAUACAUCAUCUUUGACCUUUGACCUCAUCAGAUCAGGAACAACUCCCAAAAAAACUUCAGGGUAAAAAAGGUAAGAACCCUUCAGGGGAACAACAGGAGGAUCCCUCUCCAGGAUAUAUAUAUAUAUAUAUAUAAUGUGUGUGUAUCAGGGACGUGCGGUCAGGGGAGGCAGGUGAGGCAGAGCAAGUAAAACAAGUAAAAAAUAAAUAAAUAAUGCUAACAUCGAAUUUAUAUUAAUAUUUGUCCACCGAUCUUUAUGUAUGACUUAUUUUGAACAUUUUCCAGUCAAAAUCGCUGAUUUUGCCUAUUUCCUGUUCAAAUACAGGAUGAAACGAGAGUUGAGGCAACGAGUAGAGCCGAGCCUCUUAUUGCGCAAUCCAUCACAAGCUGGGUUGAUGCAAUUGGCCCGUGCGGGUUGCCGUAUCUCGGCAUGUCGCCAAUAUAAUGCUUGUAGAUAUGUUUAUUUGCACUGAUUUUCCACAGUCUGGCUAAGGUCUUUAACCAUUACAGUUUAAUGUUCGUAAGUGACAUAUUUAGUUUUGCUGAUGGGAAAUAAAACCGCAGUGAAAAGGCGCAGGGUGAGGUGGUAGUACUCUGUCGCCCUGCAGGGGGCGCUAGUGAGCCAACGGGUACUUGUUGCUGCUUCUUCUACGCUGAGGCGCCAGGCGAGUCAAGUCCGUUUGUUUUUGUAUUUUGCUACGUCAGACCGCCAAAAUGGAAGAGGAUUAUUAUAUAUCUGAGCUUAAAAAUGUCUCAAAAGUGGACGUGAUUAAUACAGGUAGACCAACGCCGGAGCUAAACGGUGUGCUUCAAACUUGUUCUUACCUUUACGUAUCUGUAAUAUGUACCGUGUGCGUGUGUGUUUUGUGAAGACUGCUGAUGAGACAUGAAAUAACCAGUAGCCAAUUGAAUAAGCCCCUUUUGGGCUUAUAUAUUUGUAAAUCUGACACUAAAGGAGUCAGUGCCUCACCAACCAUGAACUUCACCGCACGUCACUGAUAUGUAUAUAUAUAUGUGUAUAUAUGUAUGUGUGUAUGUAUAUAUAUAUAUAUUAGGGCUGUCAAUCGAUUAAAAAGAAUUAACUAAUUAAUCGCA